GCCGUAACACAGGUGCUGCAUGGCUGUCGUCAGCUCGUGUCGUGAGAUGUUGGGUUAAGUCCCGCAACGAGCGCAACCCUUGUCAUUAGUUGCUACAUUCAGUUGGGCACUCUAAUGAGACUGCCGGUGACAAGCCGGAGGAAGGUGGGGAUGACGUCAAGUCCUCAUGGCCCUUAUAGGUGGGGCUACACACGUCAUACAAUGGCUGGUACAAAGGGUUGCCAACCCGCGAGGGGGAGCUAAUCCCAUAAAGCCAGUCGUAGUCCGGAUCGUAGUCUGCAACUCGACUACGUGAAGUCGGAAUCGCUAGUAAUCGUGGAUCAGAAUGUCACGGUGAAUACGUUCCCGGGUCUU
rnacentral:rRNA from 1 species